rnacentral:rRNA from 1 species
AUUGAACGCUGGCGGCGUGCCUAAUACAUGCAAGUCGAAAGGAGUGGCGAACGGGUGAGUAACGUAUAGCUAAUCUGCCCUACACUAGAGGACAACAGCUGGAAACGACUGCUAAUACUCUAUAGUGUAGGAUGUGGCUAUAUAGUAUCAGCUAGUUGUUGAGGUAAUGGAUCACCAAGGCUAUGACGCAUAACUGGUCUGAAAGGAUGAUCAGUCACUCUGUAACUGAGACACGAUCCUGAAUCCUGCGGGAGGCAGCAGGAGGGAGUAUUGCUCAAUGGGGGAAACCCUGAAGCAGCAUCGCCGCGUGGAGAAUGAAACUUUUCGUAGCGUAAACUCCUUUUGUUAGGGAAGCGGUACCUAACGAAUAAGCACCGACUAACUCCGUGCCAGCAGCCGCGGUAAUAC